rnacentral:rRNA from 1 species
GACGAACCGUCCAAACGUUAUUCGGAAUUACUGGGCGUAAAGCGCACGUAGGUGGCGACGUAAGUCGGGUGUGAAAGCCCCGGGCUCAACCUGGGAAUUGCAUUCGAGACUGCAUUGCUGGAGUACGGAAGAGGAAGGCGGAAUUCCCGGUGUAGCGGUGAAAUGCGUAGAUAUCGGAAGGAACAUCAGUGGCGAAAGCGACUUCCUGGACCAAUACUGACGCUCAUGUGCGAAAGCGUGGGGAGCAAACGGG